UACGGAAGGCAGCAGUGGGGAAUAUUGCACAAUGGGCGAAAGCCUGAUGCAGCUAUGCCGCGUGUAUGAAGAAGGCCUUAGGGUUGUAAAGUACUUUCAUCGGGGAGGAAAAACAAAACUAAUAAUUUUAUUUCUUGACGUUACCCGAAAAAGAAGCACUGGCUAACUCCGUGCCAGCAGCCGCGGUAAUACGGAGGGUGCUAGCGUUAAUCAGAAUUACUGGGCGUAAAGAGCACGUAGGUGGUUUUUUUAAGUCAGAUGUGAAAUCCCUGGGCUUAACCUAGGAACUGCAUUUUGAAACUGAAAUACUAGAGUAUCGUAGAGGGAGGUAGAAUUCUAGGUGUAGCGGUGAAAUGCGUAGAUAUCUGGAGGAAUACCUGUGGCGAAAGCGGCCUCCUAAACGAAUACUGACACUGAGGUGCGAAAGCGUGGGGAGCAAACAGGGAUUAGAUACC
rnacentral:rRNA from 1 species